rnacentral:rRNA from 1 species
UACGUAGGGCGCAAGCGUUUGUCCGGAAUUAUUGGGCGUAAAGAGCUCGUAGGCGGUUUGUCGCGUCUGCUGUGAAAACUCGAGGCUCAACCUCGGGCUUGCAGUGGGUACGGGCAGACUAGAGUGCGGUAGGGGGUGACUGGAAUUCCUGGUGUAGCGGUGGAAUGCGCAGAUAUCAGGAGGAACACCGAUGGCGAAGGCAGGUCACUGGGCCGCAACUGACGCUGGAGGAGCGGAAAAGCAUGGGGAGCGAACAGG